CCUACGGGUGGCAGCAGUGGGGAAUAUUGCACAAUGGGGGAAACCCUGAUGCAGCGACGCCGCGUGAGUGAAGAAGUAAUUCGUUAUGUAAAGCUCUAUCAGCAGGGAAGAAAAUGACGGUACCUGAGUAAGAAGACCCGGCUAACUACGUGCCAGCAGCCGAGGUAAUACGUAGGGGGCAAGCGUUAUCCGGAUUUACUGGGUGUAAAGGGAGCGUAGACGGGAGGUCAAGUCUGGAGUGAAAGGCGGGGGCUCAACCCCCGGACUGCUCUGGAAACUGUAUGGCUGGAGUGCAGGAGAGGUAAGUGGAAUGCGUGGUGUAGCGGUGAAAUGCGUAGAUAUUAGGAGGAACACCAGUUGCGAAGGCAGCUUACUGGACUGUAACUGACGUUGAGGCUCGAAAGCGUGGGGAGCAAACAGGAUUAGAUACCCUUGUAGUC
rnacentral:rRNA from 1 species